rnacentral:tRNA from 1 species
CUAGACAGAUGGGCCUCGAUCCCAUAAUAGUCUAGUUAACAGCUAGAUGCCUUAUCCAGCAGGCCUCUGUCUA